rnacentral:rRNA from 1 species
AGAGUUUGAUCCUGGCUCAGGAUGAACGCUGGCGGCGUGCCUAAUACAUGCAAGUCGAACGAGAACAAUCGGAUCUUCGGAACUGAGAAAUUCUAGUGGCGAACGGGUGAGUAACGCGUUGGUGACCUGCCCCGAAGAGGGGGAUAACAGUUCGAAAGGACUGCUAAUACCCCAUGAGCUCAUGAGAGUUAGAGGUCUUGUGAGGAAAAGGAGAAAUCCGCUUUGGGAGGGGCCUGCGUCCCAUCAGCUAGUUGGUAGGGUAAAAGCCUACCAAGGCGAUGACGGGUAGGGGACCUGAGAGGGUGGCCCCCCACAAUGGAACUGAAACACGGUCCAUACACCUACGGGUGGCAGCAGUAGGGAAUAUUGCUUAAUGGACGAAAGUCUGAAGCAGCAACGCCGCGUGUGCGAUGAAGGCCUUCGGGUUGUAAAGCACUUUUUGUAGGGAUGAGGAAGGACAGUACCUGCAGAAUAAGCCUCGGCUAACUACGUGCCAGCAGCCGCGGUAAAACGUAGGAGGCGAGCGUUAUCCGGAUUUACUGGGCGUAAAGCGCGUGUAGGCGGAUUACUAAGUUGGCUGUGAAAGCUCCUGGCUUAACUAGGAGAGGUCGGUCAAUACUGGUAGUCUAGAGUAUGUGAGAGGGAGGUGGAAUUCCGGGUGUAGUGGUGAAAUGCGUAGAUAUCCGGAGGAACACCAGAGGCGAAAGCGGCCUCCUGGCACAUGACUGACGCUCAGACGCGAAAGCUAGGGGAGCAAACGGGAUUAGAGACCCCGGUAGUCCUAGCUGUAAACGAUGUAGACUUGGCGUUGGUGGGGUCAAACCCAUCAGUGCCGGAGCUAACGCAUUAAGUCUACCGCCUGGGGACUACGGCCGCAAGGUUAAAACUCAAAGGAAUUGACGGGGACCCGCACAAGCAGCGGAGCGUGUGGUUUAAUUCGAUUUACACGAAGAACCUACCAGGGUUUGACAUGCAAGUGGUAGUGAAGCGAAAGCAGAACGACCCCUCGGGGAGCUUGCACAGGUGCUGCAUGGCUGUCGUCAGCUCGUGUCGUGAGAUGUUCGGUUAAGUCCGCUAACGAGCGCAACCCUCGUCGUGUGUUACAAGUGUCACGCGAGACCGCCGGUCAUAAACCGGAGGAAGGUGGGGAUGACGUCAAGUCAGCAUGGCCUUUAUGUCCUGGGCUACACACACGCUACAAUGGCCAGUACAAUUGGUAGCGAAGUCGCGAGGCGGAGCCAAUCCGUAAAAGCUGGCCCCAGUUCAGAUUGUAGGCUGCAACCCGCCUGCAUGAAGAUGGAGUUGCUAGUAACCGCAGGUCAGCAAUACUGCGGUGAAUACGUUCCCGGGUCUUGUACAC